rnacentral:rRNA from 1 species
UACGAGGGGGGGCGAGCGUUGUUCGGAAUUAUUGGGCGUAAAGGGUGCGUAGGCGGUUUGGUAAGUCUUGUGUGAAAUCUCCAGGCUCAACUUGGAGUCUGCACGAGAAACUGCCGGGCUUGAGUGUGGGAGAGGUGAGUGGAAUUCCUGGUGUAGCGGUGAAAUGCGCAGAUAUCAGGAGGAACACCGGUGGCGAAGGCGGCGACCUGGUCCGAGACUGACGCUGAGGCGCGAAAGCGUGGGGAGCAAACAGG